GCAUAUCAAUAAGCGGAGGAAAAGAAACCAACAGGGAUUGCCCUAGUAACGGCGAGUGAAGCGGCAACAGCUCAAAUUUGAAAUCUGGCUUCGGCCCGAGUUGUAAUUUGCAGAGGAAGCUUUAGGCGCGGCACCUCCUGAGUCCCCUGGAACGGGGCGCCACAGAGGGUGAGAGCCCCGUAUAGUUGGAUGCCUAGCCUGUGUAAAGCUCCUUCGACGAGUCGAGUAGUUUGGGAAUGCUGCUCAAAAUGGGAGGUAAAUUUCUUCUAAAGCUAAAUACCGGCCAGAGACCGAUAGCGCACAAGUAGAGUGAUCGAAAGAUGAAAAGCACUUUGAAAAGAGGGUUAAAUAGCACGUGAAAUUGUUGAAAGGGAAGCGCUUGUGACCAGACUUGCGCCGGGCUGAUCAUCCGGUGUUCUCACCGGUGCACUCUGCCCGGCUCAGGCCAGCAUCGGUUCUCGCGGGGGGAUAAAGGCCCUGGGAACGUAGCUCCUCCGGGAGUGUUAUAGCCCGGGGCGCAAUGCCCUCGCGGGGACCGAGGUUCGCGCUCUGCAAGGAUGCUGGCGUAAUGGUCAUCAGCGACCCGUCUUGAAACACGGACCAAGGAGUCAAGGUUUUGCGCGAGUGUUUGGGUGUAAAACCCGCACGCGUAAUGAAAGUGAACGUAGGUGAGAGCUUCGGCGCAUCAUCGACCGAUCCUGAUGUUCUCGGAUGGAUUUGAGUAGGAGCGUUAAGCCUUGGACCCGAAAGAUGGUGAACUAUGCUUGGAUAGGGUGAAGCCAGAGGAAACUCUGGUGGAGGCUCGCAGCGGUUCUGACGUGCAAAUCGAUCGUCAAAUCUGAGCAUGGGGGGCGAAAGACUAAUCGAACCAUCUAGUAGCUGGUUACCGCCGAAGU
rnacentral:rRNA from 1 species